UACGUAGGGGGCAAGCGUUGUCCGGAAUCAUUGGGCGUAAAGAGCGCGUAGGCGGCCCUGUAAGUCCGCUGUGAAAGUCAAGGGCUCAACCCUUGGAUGCCGGUGGAUACUGCAGGGCUAGAGUGCGGAAGAGGCGAGUGGAAUUCCUGGUGUAGCGGUGAAAUGCGCAGAUAUCAGGAGGAACACCAAUUGCGAAGGCAGCUCGCUGGGACGUGACUGACGCUGAGACGCGAAAGCGUGGGGAGCAAACAGG
rnacentral:rRNA from 1 species